rnacentral:misc_RNA from 1 species
UUUCCGUAGGUGAACCUGCGGAAGGAUCAUUAAAAAAUGUGGUACCAUUUGUUGGUACUAAUUAAUCAUCCUACCCUUUGUGAAUUUGUUUGUAACGAAUUUUUUUAAAUGGUCUUUCCCUAAGUUGGAUUGUAGUAAAAAUACAAAAAAGACUUAGGGGAAUGACUUUUUUAAAAGACUUUUUUUUAAAUUAAAACUUUUUGUAUUCAUUUGUCUAAAAUUUAUUUUUAUAAUAUAAAAACAACUUUUGACAAUGGAUCUCUUGGUUCUCGCAACGAUGAAGAACGCAGCAAAAUGCGAUAAGUAGUGUGAAUUGCAGAAUACGUGAAUCAUCGAAUCUUCGAACGCAUAUUGCACUUUUUUAGUUUACUAAAAAAGUAUGUCUGUUUGAGUAUCAGUAAAAUAUUCUCACAAAACAUAUAUUGUUUUGUGGUAUGAGUGUUUUACAACGAUAAACAAGUUGUUUCACUUUAAAUUCUUUUUGUAAGUUUUUACUACAAUUUAUAAAUUUAAAAUUGGAUAAAAUUUUCCUUUAACGAGGAACAACCUAAACAAUUUUAAAUUUUUUGGUUGUAAAAUCAUAAAGGAAUCUAUACAUAAAUAACUUGAUCUCAAAUCAGAUAAGAGUACCCGCUGAACUUAAGCAUAUCAAUAAGCGGAGGAAAAGAAACUAACAAGGAUUCCCUUAGUAACGGCGAGUGAAGCGGGAAGAGCUCAAAUUUGAAAUCUUCAAGGUUUGACCUUGACGAAUUGUAGUUUAUAGAAGUGUUUUCUGUUGGAGUUUUGGUAAAAGUUCUUUGGAAUAGGACAUCAUAGAGGGUGAGAAUCCCGUGUUUGACCAUGACUUUCCAGCUGUGUGAUACACUUUCAAAGAGUCGGAUUGUUUGGGAAUGCAGUCCAAAAUGGGUGGUAAAUUUCAUCUAAAGCUAAAUAUUGGCGAGAGACCGAUAGCGAACAAGUACCGUGAGGGAAAGAUGAAAAGAACUUUGAAAAGAGAGUUAAACAGUACGUGAAAUUGUCAAAAGGGAAGCGUCUGACACCAGUGUUGUUUUCUCGAAAAUCAAUUUAAUGAGUUCUUGUUUUUAAGUUAUUGUGACUUUAUCAGCGCAUUUCUUAUUUUACUUGACUCAUUGAAUGCACUUUUCGUUUAACAAGUCAACAUCAAUUUCUUUGGUGGUAAAAAGUUUAAAGGAAGGUGGCUUGGACUUCGGUUCAAGUGUUUAUAGCCUUUUUUCUAUGCCAUCGGAGAGAUUGAGGUCUGCAGCGUAGAUCCUUCGGGGUUAGAUACCUUUGUGCUAAGUUAUAGUUUUUAUAGACAACUUGUUGACUAUAAUUAACCCUGUAACUUACUCGCUUAGGCUAUUU